rnacentral:rRNA from 1 species
AGAGUUUGAUCCUGGCUCAGAUUGAACGCUGGCGGAAUGCUUUACACAUGCAAGUCGAGCGGCAGCGCGGGGCAACCUGGCGGCGAGCGGCGAACGGGUGAGUAAUGCAUCGGAACAUGUCCAUGUCGUGGGGGAUAGCCCGGCGAAAGCCGGAUUAAUACCGCAUACGCCCGAGAGGGGAAAGUGGGGGACCGCAAGGCCUCACGCGAUUGGGUUGGCCGAUGUCCGAUUAGCUAGUUGGCGGGGUAAAGGCCCACCAAGGCGAUGAUCGGUAGCUGGUCUGAGAGGAUGAUCAGCCACACUGGGACUGAGACACGGCCCAGACUCCUACGGGAGGCAACAGUGGGGAAUUUUGGACAAUGGGGGCAACCCUGAUCCAGCCAUUCCGCGUGAGUGAAGAAGGCCUUCGGGUUGUAAAGCUCUUUUGUCCGGAAACGGAAACGGCUAGCGUGGAAAUAAUCGCUGGCUACUGACGGAACCGGAAGA